rnacentral:rRNA from 1 species
GAUGAACGCUAGCUACAGGCUUAACACAUGCAAGUCGAGGGGCAGCGGUAUCGGAAGCUUGCUUUCGGUAGCCGGCGACCGGCGCACGGGUGAGUAACGCGUAUCGAACCUGCCUCAUACUCGGGAAUAGCCUUGCGAAAGUAAGAUUAAUGCCCGGAGUUUUCAGAGUCCCGCAUGAGGCUUUGCACAAAGAUUUGUCGGUAUGAGAUGGCGAUGCGUCCCAGUAGCUUGUUGGCGGGGUAACCGCCCACCAAGGCAUCGAGGGGUAGGGGUUCUGAGAGGAAGGUCCCCCACAGUGGAACUGAGACACGGUCCAAACUCCUACGGGAGGCAGCAGUGAGGAAUAUUGGUCAAUGGGCGGAAGCCUGAACCAGCCAAGUAGCGUGCAGGAAGACGGCCCUCCGGGUUGUAAACUGCUUUUAGUUGGGAAUAAAACGGGGCUCGUGAGCCCCCUUGCAUGUACCAUCAGAAAAAGGACCGGCUAAUUCCGUGCCAGCAGCCGCCGUAA